GAUGAACGCUGGCGGCGUGCCUAACACAUGCAAGUCGAGCGAACAGACGAGGAGCUUGCUCCUCUGACGUUAGCGGCGGACGGGUGAGUAACACGUGGAUAACCUACCUAUAAGACUGGGAUAACAUCGGGAAACCGGAGCUACUACCGGAUAAUAUAUUGAACCGCAUGGUUCAAUAGUGAAAGACGGUUUUGCUGUCACUUAUAGAUUGAUCCGCGCCGCAUUAGCUAGUUGGUAAGGUAACGGCUUACCAAGGCAACGAUGCGUAGCCGACCUGAGAGGGUGGUCGGCCACACUGGAACUGAGACACGGUCCAGACUCCUACGGGAGGAAGCAGUAGGGAAUCUUCCGCAAUGGGCGAAAGCCUGACGGAGCAACGCCGCGUGAGUGAUGAAGGUCUUCGGAUCGUAAAGCUCUGUUAUUAGGAAAGAACAAAUGUGUAAGUAACUAUGAACGUCUUAACGGUACCUAAUCAGAAAGCCACGGCUAACUACGUG
rnacentral:rRNA from 1 species